rnacentral:tRNA from 2 species
UGCCGGGUGGUGAAAUGGUAUCACUAAGGUCUCUGGUUCCUUCAUUGGGGGUUCGAAUCCUCCCCCGGCAA